rnacentral:rRNA from 1 species
AACUUGAAGAGUUUGAUCCUGGCUCAGAACGAACGCUGGCGGCGUGGCUAAGACAUGCAAGUCGAACGGAUUAUGCUUAACCGUAUAAUUAGUGGCGAAAGGGUGAGGAAUAGACAGGUAACGUACCUGGAGCACUGGAAUAGCGUCUCCCGCACCUACUUUAUUCAGUUUCGAGAUUUUUGGGAUUAUUUGAAUAUAAUUCCGCGUCUAUUUUUGGAUGUAUCUUUGUGGACUGGGUAAAGUAGGUGCGGGAUACCGAAAGGGGCGGUAAUUCCGGAUAAUGUUAUUGAUCGCAUGGUUGAUAACCAAAUGAUUUAUUGGCUUCAGAGCGGCCUAUCUCCUAUCAGCUUGUUGGUGAGGUAAUGGCUCACCAAGGCUUUGACGGGUACCGGGACUGAGAGGUUGGCCCGGCACAUCGGAACUGAGACACUGUCCGGACCUCCACGGAGGGCUGCAGUAACGAAUAUUGGGCAAUGGGCGAAAGCCUGACCCAGCGACGCCGCGUGUAGGAUGAAGUCCCUCGGGAUGUAAACUACUGUCAGGGGUAUGAAAGCCCCGUACCUAUUGUAUUGUUCGUAAUAUAAGACAUUGUCGAUAAGAUUUGAAUAAAUCAAAUCGAUAAGGCAUUUACGAUAAGACAGAACAAUAGGUGCGGGGUUGAUCUAACCCAAAGGAAGUCACGGCUAACUCUGUGCCAGCAGCCGCGGUAAUACAGAGGUGGCAAGCGUUGUUCGGAAUCAUUGGGCUUAAAGCGUGUGUAGGCGGACCAGAAAGUGUCUUGUGAAAUCCCUCGUCUUAACCGAGGAAUAGCUCGGCAAACUACUGGUCUUGAGUCAAGUAAGGGUGCCUGGAACUCUUGGUGGAGCGGUGAAAUGCGUAGAUAUCAAGAGGAACGCCAGUGGUGAAGACGGGGCACUGGGCUUGUACUGACGCUGAGACACGAAAGCGUGGGGAGUGAACGGGAUUAGAUACCCCGGUAAUCCACGCUGUAAACGAUGCCUACUUGGUGUUGGAAACUCUGACGUUUUCAAGACCGUAGCAAAAGUGUUAAGUAGGCCGCCUGGGGAGUACGGUCGCAAGGCUAAAACUCAAAGGAAUUGACGGGGGCUCACACAAGCGGUGGAGCAUGUGGUUCAAUUCGAAGCAACGCGCAGAACCUUACCUGGGUUUGACAUGGUUGGAUGCCUUUCUGGAAACAGAGUAGGUUGCCCGCAAGGGUGAAACUUUCACAGGUGCUGCAUGGCUGUCGUCAGCUCGUGUCGUGAGAUGUCGGGUUAAGUCCUAUAACGAGCGAAACCCCUGCAGUUAGUUACCAUUCCCGCAAGGGAGGGACUCUAACUGGACCGCCGGUGUUAAACCGGAGGAAGGCGGGGAUGACGUCAAGUCCUCAUGGCCUUUAUGCCCAGGGCCACACACGUGCUACAAUGGCAACUACAAAGCGUCGCAAUGCCGUAAGGUGGAGCAAAUCGCAGAAAAGUUGUCUCAGUCCGGAUUGAGGGCUGCAAUUCGCCCUCAUGAAGUUGGAAUCGCUAGUAAUCGUGAAUCAGCUACGUCACGGUGAAUGUGUUCCUGAGCCUUGUACACACCGCCCGUCAAGUGAUGGGAGCUGGAAAUACCCAAAAUCAGUUUGCGAACCCGCAAGGGGCGCGACUGCCUACGGUAGGUUCGGUGACUGGCACUAAGUCGUAACAAGGUAGCCGUAGGGGAACCUGCGGCUGGAUCACCUCCUUUCUAAAGGAA